rnacentral:lncRNA from 1 species
CGGGGUUAUCGUAGUUUACAGACACAAAACCUUUUUCUGAAUUAUUUAUUUCUAUGGUAUAUUAAGUCUCUUUGACUUAUAAGUUUUGACAUCCGAGUUUUUAUUAUUUUUUGGUAUUUUCCGGGUUUUUUUUUACUUGUAUCAGUUUUGCGUAUCAUAUUAGUAUUUUCCGUAAAAAAGUAGAAAGAUGUGGUAUGAUACCAAUGAGACAGGUCUCUACAAGAGACCAAAUGACAUCGAACAUGAAAAGUUAUCAACCAUAUUUUUCGUCUAUGUUUAUUAUUUUCGUUUUAAAAAAAUGUGGAAUUUUAGGCUCAUUCAGAUUUUUUAUUUUCCGUU